UACGUAGGUGGCAAGCGUUAUCCGGAAUUAUUGGGCGUAAAGAGCGCGCAGGUGGUUAAUUAAGUCUGAUGUGAAAGCCCACGGCUUAACCGUGGAGGGUCAUUGGAAACUGGUUGACUCGAGUUCAGACGAGGUAGGCGGAAUAAGUUAAGUAGCGGUGAAAUGCUUAGAUAUAACUUAGAACUCCGAUUGCGAAGGCAGCUCACUGGACUGCAACUGACACUGAGGCUCGAAAGUGUGGGUAUCAAACAGG
rnacentral:rRNA from 1 species